GGUGAGAUGGCCGAGUUGGUUAUGGCGCCAGGUUAAGGUUUCUCCUUAGCAACGCAAGGUUUAUUUCCCUGCUUCCUGGUCACGAAAGUGGCGUGGGUUCGAGUCCCACUCUCAUCA